rnacentral:rRNA from 1 species
UACACUCCUACGGGAGGCAGCAGUGGGGAUAUUGGACAAUGGGCGCAAGCCUGAUCCAGCCAUGCCGCGUGAGUGAUGAAGGCCCUAGGGUUGUAAAGCUCUUUCACCGGAGAAGAUAAUGACGGUAUCCGGAGAAGAAGCCCCGGCUAACUUCGUGCCAGCAGCCGCGGUAAUACGAAGGGGGCUAGCGUUGUUCGGAAUUACUGGGCGUAAAGCGCACGUAGGCGGAUCGAUCAGUCAGGGGUGAAAUCCCAGGGCUCAACCCUGGAACUGCCUUUGAUACUGUCGAUCUGGAGUAUGGAAGAGGUGAGUGGAAUUCCGAGUGUAGAGGUGAAAUUCGUAGAUAUUCGGAGGAACACCAGUGGCGAAGGCGGCUCACUGGUCCAUUACUGACGCUGAGGUGCGAAAGCGUGGGGAGCAAACAGGAUUAGAAACCCCAGUAGUCCCAUG